AACACGUGGGCAACCUGCCCUCAGCUCUGGGAUAACUCCAAGAAAUUGGUGCUAAUACCGGAUAUUCAUGUGACCUCGCAUGGGGUUGUGUGGAAAGUUUUUCGGCUGGGGAUGGGCCCGCGGCCUAUCAGCUUGUUGGUGGGGUGAUGGCCUACCAAGGCGACGACGGGUAGCCGGCCUGAGAGGGUGACCGGCCACACUGGGACUGAGACACGGCCCAGACUCCUACGGGAGGCAGCAGUGGGGAAUAUUGCGCAAUGGGCGGAAGCCUGACGCAGCGACGCCGCGUGAGGGAUGACGGCCUUCGGGUUGUAAACCUCUUUCAGCAGGGACGAAGCGAAAGUGACGGUACCUGCAGAAGAAGCACCGGCCAACUACGUGCCAGCAGCCGCGGUAAUACGUAGGGUGCAAGCGUUGUCCGGAAUUAUUGGGCGUAAAGAGCUCGUAGGCGGUUUGUCGCGUCGGCUGUGAAAGCCCGGAGCUCAACUCCGGGUCUGCAGUCGAUACGGGCAGACUUGAGUGUUGCAGGGGAGACUGGAAUUCCUGGUGUAGCGGUGAAAUGCGCAGAUAUCAGGAGGAACACCGGUGGCGAAGGCGGGUCUCUGGGCAACAACUGACGCUGAGGAGCGAAAGCGUGGGGAGCGAACAGGAUUAGAUACCCUGGUAGUCCACGCCGUAAACGUUGGGCGCUAGGUGUGGG
rnacentral:rRNA from 1 species